GGAGUUGUAGCUCAGUGGUAGAGCACUUGCCUCACAAGUGUGAGGCCCUGGGUUCAAUCCUAGCACCA
rfam:Ictidomys tridecemlineatus contig083400, whole genome shotgun sequence.